AUGACACCAGUAUUUGAUAAAAUUGAUAGUCACAUGGAUUCAUAAUUUCAUAUUUGCAUAACAUUUGCAUAAUCUGCAAAUGAUUGAAUUGAUAGUAAUUUCCUUUUAAGCUGUUUAGUAAGUGAGUGAGUUCAUGGCUUGGCAUCAAAAAGAAUGGCAAAAACAUUACUGUAAAAAUUCAUUUCCCAAGUUUCUUAAACACGCCACAAAUGAUCUGCCUCAUUAAACAGGUAAUUUCCAAACAAGACCACAUGUUGACAGCCAUUGGUUGACAAUUCACAUUGCUUAAGCAAACAGAACAAUGUUUAGCAAGCACAAGGCACUACAUAUACUGUAUUAUAAAGAGUUAAGCACUUUGCAUGCCUGUUGUAUUCCCUCUCUUUCUAUUGUGUUCUCGGUUGGCCCUUAAGGGAUCUGCUUGCUUAUUUUAGGUUGAGCAGUGAGGUAAAGAUCUCGUGUGCAUAGCAACAUUGCCAUGGCUUCUGCACUGUUGUCAGUUGUGUGAGAGUCGGCAUGGUGAUGCGGGGAGUCAGGGAUCAGAAGUCCACGCUUCAUGAAGAAACAUCUUAUCUGGCAACCAGUGGUUGGGAACUGAACAAAUAUGUAACACAGGCAUCCUUUGUUUGCUGGGUAUAACAUCAGACUUUCCUGAUAUACACAAUGGCAGUGGAAUGUGCAAAGCCCUGACAACGCUGAGUUUGAACACCAGGAACGAGACGCGAGGAACCGAGCCAACUGACCCAGCCCACAACCCUGCAUGCAGAACUGCUGAAGCACUCAUUUCAGUAAAGAUAUCAUCAACAGGUGCGGUGGAUCAAAGCUGUGGCUCACUUCUCAGGCUACAGAGAGCAGAUCUGACCGAGAAAGUGGUCAUACAUGCCAACUGGAACAGGGCAAGAGAGGGAGGUGAUUUCCACUUGCUGCCGGGGUGUCCUGGAUUGGACCGUAUCCUGCAACAGAGAGAAAUGUUGCAGAAUUGGAUCAGUGAUAGAGAUAAGGAGCUGACGGGAGGAUCAAACUACUGAAAUAUAUGUGGCUUCUGUCUGCCUGCCACAUCUCUUGGUACAGCGAGCUGUCUAAGACCAUUAGCCCUGACAUCACUCCUGGAUUUUCACCCCAGGUGUGGGUUAGUUGACUUGUGCUGUCUGACAGCUUCUUGACUCAGUCACAAGCAUUCGAAGGAAAAUUGGCUGGAAUGGAAAGAGUGUGGAGAGUCUGAGGGACAUGCGUGGAGUGGCUGCUUGCCCACGGGCUUUAGUGGAGUGGGCCUUGACGUGUUUGCGCAGGGAACUGGGGUCCGUGUAACGCUUGGUGCAUCCUGGGAGCUGACAUGCGUAUGGUUUCUACAAGGAAUACAGCAAACAUGAAAAAAGGAGAAGAAUGGACUCUCAUGUGAAUGAGGAGCUUGUAUCGAGCGUUGAAGGGUUUGUGUCGACGGACGCAUCCUGCCCAGAAACAUGUUGCUCUACAAUCCAUCCACUGACAUGCGUGUCCAAUACUCAGCUGGCCAUUUGCUCCAUCAUCUACGCUCAGUCCUGAGCCAUUCUUGCAUUGCUGUAGUAUAGGAAGUUUUUUAACAUUGUAAACAUUAUGGUGCUG